rnacentral:tRNA from 1 species
GCAUCAUUGGUCUAAUGGUUAGGAUUGCUGCCUUCCAUAUUCUGUAAGCAGCCGGUUCGGGUUCGAUUCCCGAAUGAUGCA